GGGGGUCCUGGACCUGGUCCUGGUCUGAGGGGGUCCCUGUUAGAGGGGAUCCCGGGCCCAAGGAAGAUUUGGGUCCCUGCCUGGGGUGGGGGGAUCCAGUCUGAGGAGAGCCCAGGUUUGAAGGGGGUCCUGGCUUGAGGGGGUCCCAGUCUGAGGGGGUCCCGGUCCCUGUCCCGGCCCUGCUCCGUGGCACAGCCCCUUGUACCCCAACUCCUUGGAGCCUCACCCAGCCCCGAGCAGGGCCCUCCCGGACCUGGGGGGUCCCCCCAGAGCUUGUGGGGCUCCCCCAGGGCCUGGCCUGGCCUCCACCAAGGUGCCCAGGGCUGGUCACAGCCCAUGGCUGCCCCUCCACGGCGCUGCCCCCGUGGGAUCCACGACCACCCAGGGCUGAGGGGUCCCCAGGGCGAUGGCUCUGGGGGGUUGGCUCUGGGGCUGGUGACCCUCAAGGGGGACGUGCAGCCAUCACUGACCUUUUCUCUGGGAAUCUCGGUAAAUACGUCAGCUUUGGGGUGGAGAAAUCUCUUGUGCUCCCUCUUGGGGGAUUUGGGGUCUGGGAGGGAUGUGGUAGAGCCCCGAGGUUGAGCAACGGGCACGGGACGCAGGGUUUGUGCUGCCUGGGGUCGUUCUCCUUCAUGAACGGCAUCUGUGGGUUUGCACAGCAGCUCCUGUCCCUCGUGCAGCCGAAGGCUUUGGCUUUCCUCCCGGUGCCACGGCCAGCCGGUUGGGAAUGGACAAGCGGACGGCAUGCUGCGUGAUCGCUGCGGGACGGUCUUGGUGCUUCACGGGGCCAGGAGGACGACAGCUGAGUGUAGCCCACUGACGGCCCAGUGUCAGACCGCGGCCGAUUCACAUUUGGGGUGAAGUCUGUGUUUGUGCCUGUCCUUGGCUGCCAGUCCCUAAAAGUCAGUGCUCAGCCCUUGCUAUCCCAUGGCAUCUCCCAGGCAACUCCUUUAUCUGCUGUUAUCCAUCUGUGCUGUCAUCCAUUAGGGGAUAACACCCAAAGCCAGCCUGACCGUUUCCAGCUCUGAUUCCCUCCGGCAGUCCUGGAGGAGAAGUUAACCCCUUUUGCCAUAGGCAGUCCAAAGGGAACGAGUAAACCCGUUUCACACGUCAGCAUAAACUCGUCAUCACGUGCUUGUAUGCCGAGCUUUUCCACACCCUGAUGCUCUCCUGCACAAACGCUGUGCAAGAGGGAUGUCUCUGUUAGUCAUAAUCUCCGUGGGAAGGGGCUGUGGGAGGAACAGCUUUCUGGUGGUCAGAGCAUUGCUCUGCCUCAAUUUCCAUCCCGUGUCUGGAUGUGGUCCUAGAGGUGAUGCUGCCCGUGGUACGGCUGUGUCCAGCUGUGACUUCAGUGCUCAGGGUGCAGAGCUGUGGCCCGUGGGGCAGAUUUUAGGACAGCGUGGGCAAGCGAGGCCGCAGGAGCCUCUCUUCAGGUCGUUAGCUGGAGCAGGGCUGUCUUUGAAAAGCAGCUUUGGCGAGCUGGGGAGAUGUGAGAGCAGCUCAUACGAGGUCCUCCCCUAGGAGCAGAGUGAACGCAAGCACUGCUCCUCUUGGAGGCACGAGCGUGGCGAGAGGAGGGCUCUGCUGGGAGGCCGAGAUGGGGCAGGGAAGCUGGGGAGGGUCUCAUGGGACCGCCCUGGGACGGGUGUGGGUGGCUCAUGGCCCCGGGGGCUGCGGUCGGGGAGGCAGUUCCCUCUGGAGAGGAGGGUCUCGGGUGCUGCUGGGUCCCUGAGAUGAUCUGAGCCUCUCCUCAGAUGUUUGUCCUGCAGGACGUGGGAGGAGUAUUGUGUCCCAUGUCCCUUGGGCUGCGGCUUCAUCGUGGGAGAUAUCUCUGUGCCCCCUCCCCGAGCCCUCCAGCCUGCUGCCCCCAGGCUGUCCCCUCACCCUGCGUCCUGGGGGCUGCGUAGCUCCAGGUGGGAUUUUUAACCCGUUCUCUGUUUCCUGCAAGGCAGGGGCUUUGCAGAGAGCCUGGCUGCCGGCCAGCGGCUGUCCCCCGCCUCUGUGGGUGCAGCACCCACACUCUGCAGUGCAGGCGGCUCCCGUGGGGUGAUGGCCCGUGAAGGGCAGGGUGGCUGGAGGCAGAGGAAGGGGAGGUAUUCAGCAUGCAGCAGGUGCCGAGGCGAUGCUCGCCGCGACAAAUCCCUGUGAUUCAGCCCCAAAGCAUCUGCCAUCGCCGGGGACUGAACGUUAACAAGCGGCCGAGGGGGCUGCUGUCACGCAGCCGCCUCUGCCGAGGCGCCUCGGAGCCCCCAGGAACGGGAGCUCCCCUGCACGGAUUCGCUCCGGCAUGCUUGGGAAGGACGGCGCUCCCCAGCUCCGCUCUGCCUACGAGACCUCCACGAGUCCCUGCCGGCCUAAAUCUUUCUGCUUCCCCGUUGCUGAUGACAACGCAGGGCUGCGAAGCCAUAGAUAAUAACCCCCUGGAGGCUACAGAAGGCACCGAAAUCUCCAGGGAAGGUGUGGAAGAUGGAAGCAGAAGAGUCCUUUAGCAGCUCAGCGAUAUCCUCAUCUCCCAUAAUUGCUCUCUUUAACCCCUGACAGUCUAACAGCCCCAUGUUCUCCUCCUGGCUUUUCAACGUGCUCAGCCCUGUUGUUUGUUUUUAUACUUUUACUUAUUUGCUCUUCAGAACCCCUUUAUGCUCCUGUAAUUAACUUCACACUGGUUUUUAGCGUUUGCCUCCGCUUAGUGUCACACGCCGCUGCUUGGUCCUGACUUCCCUGUGCAAAGCUGAAUUGAGCAGCGCCGGGGCUGCUGUUACUCAGUGUCUCAGCUAUUGCUUUGUGAAUUCUCUCCUGCGUGCCACUUAAAACUAAGUCAAGAAUGGCCUUCCCACUUCUUCCUUCUCCUCUCCUUGCUCCAAGCAUGGAGCAGCGUGCUGAGCGUGGAGGUACUUUGUCUCUAAACUGUGUCCUGCUGUGCCGCGUAUUUGUAUGUGGGUGGUUCAAGUCCCUUAUUAUCAUCCGCUGUUAUCGCACCUUUGCUGGAGUCUGGUGCCAUUUUGAUCUUCUUCAUCAAAGAAGCGAGCCUGCCACUUCUCUGCAGCCGCCUGGGCAGGGAGAUAGAGUCUUGCAGGGAUGUGAUUGCAUCUGGGCAUUUGACUGCUUUUCUUUGCAGCUUUCCCUGGCUGUUCUGCAGAGCUUGCAGCCAGACGUUUUGGUAUUUCUUUGACUUGUGUAACUCCUCUUACAUCAAGAUCAAGGGCCAGGCAGUUCACCUGUGUUUGCAUGCUGCCCAGAUGUUUGUAAUGCCUGUUCCAGACCGGUGCAGGCUUUCAUCGAACUCAACCUGCAACCAAACUGACUUUACA